CUAUCACUUGAUCUUUGGGAGUGAGGGCAUGGGUGCUAAGGUCCAUGUCCGAAAGAGGAACAACUCAGACCACCAGCUAAGGUCCCGAAAUAAGGGCUAAGUUGAAUAAACGAAGUAAAACUGCAAAGACAGCUAGGAUGUUGGCUUGGAAGCAGCCAUUCAUUUAAAGAGUGCGUAACAGCUCACUAGUCGAGGAGUUUUGCAUGGAUAAUAAUCGGGCAUAAGCCCUUUACCGAAGCUGUGGAUGUCGUAAGACAUGGUAGGGGAGCAUUCCGGCGGCGACGAAGGCCGUCCUCGAGGACGACUGGAGCUUUCGGAAAAGCAAAUGUAGGUAUAAGUAACGAUAAAGGGGGCGUGAAACCCCCUCGCCAUAAGACUAAGGAUUCCUGAUCAACGCUAAUCGGAUCAGGGUAAGUCGGGCCCUAAGGCGCAGCCGAACGGCGUAGCCGAUGGAAGAAACGGUAAAGAUUCCGUUACUGGAUAUAGGAGCGAUGUGGAGACGGAGAAGUGACACACCCGCCUGCCGACGGAAGCGCAGGUUAAAGGAAGUAGGUAAACGCCGGGUAGGCAAAUCCGCCUGGCGUGCCGAAACUGACAGUAUCGAGAGCCCCCGGGCAAUCGAAUAGCGGUGGUAAUCAGGCUCCCAAGAAAAUCCGCUAAGCAUAUUCUAUAUCCACCCGUACCCCAAACGGACACACGUAGUCGGGUAGAAUAUACCAAGGCGCUCGAAAGACUCACGGUUAAGGAACUAGGCAAAUUGACCCUGUAACCUCGGGAAAAAGGGUCCCCAGUAAGAUGGGGCGCAGAGAAUAGGUCCAGGCAACUGUUUAACAAAAACACAGGGCUGUGCGAAAUUUCAAGAUGAAGUAUACAGCCUGACACCUGCCCGGUGCCGGAAGGUUAAGAGGAGAGCUAAUCGCAAGAGAAGGCUUGAAUUGAAGCCCCGGUAAACGGCGGCCGUAACUAUAACGGUCCUAAGGUAGCGAAAUUCCUUGUCGGGUAAGUUCCGACCUGCACGAAUGGUGUAAUGAUCUGGACACUGUCUCAACCGUGACUUCGGUGAAAUUGUAGUAUCGGUGAAGAUGCCGAUUACCCGCAACGGGACGAAAAGACCCCGUGAACCUUUACUGCAACUUAGCAUUGCGUUUGGGCAUUUGAUGUGUAGGAUAGUCCGGAGGCUACGAGUCGGCGACGCCAGUCUUCGAGGAGCCGCUGUUGAAAUACGGACCUUCGAAUGUUUGAGCGCUAACUCGCAGGAGCGAGGACACUGUUUGGUGGGUAGUUUGACUGGGG
rnacentral:rRNA from 1 species